CCUACGGGAGGCAGCAGUGGGGGAUAUUGCACAAUGGGGGGAACCCUGAUGCAGCGACGCCGCGUGGGUGAAGAAGCGCCUCGGCGCGUAAAGCCCUGUCAGCAGGGAAGAAAAUGACGGUACCUGAAGAAGACGCCCCGGCUAACUACGUGCCAGCAGCCGCGGGAAUACGUAGGGGGCAAGCGGUAUCCGGAUUUACUGGGUGUAAAGGGGGCGCAGGCGGCGAUGCAAGCCAGGAGUGAAAGCCCGGGGCCCAACCCCGGGACUGCUCUUGGAACUGCGGGGCUGGAGUGCAGGAGGGGCAGGCGGAAUUCCUGGUGUAGCGGUGAAAUGCGUAGAUAUCAGGAGGAACACCGGUGGCGAAGGCGGCCUGCUGGACUGCAACUGACGUUGAGGCCCGAAAGCGUGGGGAGCAAACAGGAUUAGAUACCCUUGUAGUC
rnacentral:rRNA from 1 species